UACGUAGGGUGCAAGCGUUGUCCGGAAUUAUUGGGCGUAAAGAGCUCGUAGGCGGUCUGUCGCGUCUGCUGUGAAAACUCGGGGCUUAACCCCGGGCCUGCAGUGGGUACGGGCAGACUAGAGUGCGGUAGGGGAGAGUGGAAUUCCUGGUGUAGCGGUGAAAUGCGCAGAUAUCAGGAAGAACACCCGUGGCUAAGGCGGCUCUCUAGUACGGUACUGACGCUGAGACGCGAAAGCGUGGGGAGCGAACAGG
rnacentral:rRNA from 1 species